CGGGAUAACCAGCCGAAAGGUUGGCUAAUACUGGAUAGAGCGCAUACAUCGUAAAGAUGUGAGCGGGAAAUGAGGGCGUAGUAAUACGCUCUUGCACUAAGAUGAGCCUGCGUCUCAUUAGCUAGUUGGUAAGGUAAUGGCUUACCAAGGCUUUGAUGGGUAGCUGGUCUGAGAGGACGAUCAGCCACACUGGAACUGAAACACGGUCCAG
rnacentral:rRNA from 1 species